rfam:Oryza sativa (indica cultivar-group) chromosome 5, whole genome shotgun sequence.
AAAAAGAGGUAAACCCUCCGUGUCCAACUUUGAUUGGCCGUCUUAUAUGAAAUUUUUUUAUAAUUCGUACUUUUAUUGUUGUUAGAUGAUAAAACAUGAUUAAUACUUUGUGCGUGACUUAUCUUUUUAAUUUUUUUAAAUAAAACGGACGGUAAACGUUGGGCACGGAAAUCAGAGUUUGUCUUUUU